rnacentral:rRNA from 1 species
UACGUAGGGUGCAAGCGUUGUCCGGAAUUAUUGGGCGUAAAGGGCUCGUAGGCGGUCCAUCGCGUCGGGAGUGAAAAGCUGGGGCUUAACCCCAGUCCUGCUUCCGAUACGGGUGGACUAGAGGUAGGUAGGGGGAGAACGGAAUUCCUGGUGUAGCGGUGAAAUGCGCAGAUAUCAGGAGGAACACCGGUGGCGAAGGCGGUUCUCUGGGCCUUACCUGACGCUGAGGAGCGAAAGCAUGGGGAGCAAACAGG